rnacentral:rRNA from 1 species
GACGAACGCUGGCGGCGUGCUUAACACAUGCAAGUCGAACGGAAAGGCCCUGCUUUUGUGGGGUGCUCGAGUGGCGAACGGGUGAGUAACACGUGAGUAACCUGCCCUUGACUUUGGGAUAACUUCAGGAAACUGGGGCUAAUACCGGAUAGGAGCUCCUGCUGCAUGGUGGGGGUUGGAAAGUUUCGGCGGUUGGGGAUGGACUCGCGGCUUAUCAGCUUGUUGGUGGGGUAGUGGCUUACCAAGGCUUUGACGGGUAGCCGGCCUGAGAGGGUGACAGGCCACAUUGGGACUGAGAUACGGCCCAGACUCCUACGGGAGGCAGCAGUGGGGAAUAUUGCACAAUGGGCGGAAGCCUGAUGCAGCAACGCCGCGUGCGGGAUGACGGCCUUCGGGUUGUAACCCGCUUUCGCCUGUGACGAAGCGUGAGUGACGGUAAUGGGUAAAGAAGCACCGGCUAACUACGUG